rnacentral:rRNA from 1 species
AGAGUUUGAUCCUGGCUCAGGACGAACGCUGGCGGCGUGCCUAACACAUGCAAGUGGAGCGACGAACCAGGCUUCGGCCUGGGGCAAAGCCGCGAACGGGUGAGUAACACGUGGGUAACCUGCCCCGAUGAUUGGGACAACCCGAGGAAACUCGGGCUAAUACCGAAUGUGCCCUCCGGCCAUAAGGCCGCUGGGGAAAGGAAGCUUCGGCCUCCGCAUCGGGAUGGGCCCGCGGCCCAUUAGCUUGUUGGUGAGGUAACGGCUCACCAAGGCGACGAUGGGUAGCUGGUCUGAGAGGACGAUCAGCCACACUGGGACUGAGACACGGCCCAGACUCCUACGGGAGGCAGCAGUGGGGAAUCUUGCGCAAUGCGCGAAAGCGUGACGCAGCAACGCCGCGUGGGGGAAGAAGGCCUUCGGGUUGUAAACCCCUUUCAGUUGGGACGAAGCUUCGCCGGUGAAUAGCCGGCUGGAGUGACGGUACCUUCAGAAGAAGCCCCGGCUAACUACGUGCCAGCAGCCGCGGUAAUACGUAGGGGGCAAGCGUUGUCCGGAAUCAUUGGGCGUAAAGAGCGUGUAGGCGGCCUGGUAAGUCCGCUCUGAAAGCCCGGGGCUCAACCCCGGGAGGCGGGCGGAUACUGUCAGGCUAGAGUCCGGAAGAGGCGAGUGGAAUUCCUGGUGUAGCGGUGAAAUGCGCAGAUAUCAGGAGGAACACCAAUGGCGAAGGCAGCUCGCUGGGACGGUACUGACGCUGAGACGCGAAAGCGUGGGGAGCAAACAGGAUUAGAUACCCCCGUAGUCC